CGCGAAACAACACGGACCUUUUUAAGGAAAACUUUGCCCAGAUGCUGACCACACUCAAGAGAGAUGCCAGGGAAUGGUCAUACCCCCACAUCUCCUGGUUCGGCCGGGUCCAAGUUAUUAAAAUGAACUUCCUACCACGGCUACUAUACCUGAUGCAGACAAUACCCUUACGGAUCCCUAGGACAUACUUUACAACCUUACACAGG